UCCCUGGUGGUCUAGUGGUCAGGAUUCGGUGUUUUCACCGCCGCUGCCCAGGUUCGAUUCCCGGUCAGGGAA